AGUGAACGCUGGCGGUAGGCCUAACACAUGCAAGUCGAACGGCAGCACAGUAAGAGCUUGCUCUUACGGGUGGCGAGUGGCGGACGGGUGAGGAAUACAUCGGAAUCUACUUUUUCGUGGGGGAUAACGUAGGGAAACUUACGCUAAUACCGCAUACGACCUACUGGUGAAAGCAGGGGAUCUUCGGACCUUGCGCGAUUGAAUGAGCCGAUGUCGGAUUAGCUAGUUGGCGGGGUAAAGGCCCACCAAGGCGACGAUCCGUAGCUGGUCUGAGAGGAUGAUCAGCCACACUGGAAGUGAGACACGGUCCAGACUCCUACGGGAGGCAGCAGUGGGGAAUAUUGGACAAUGGGCGCAAGACUGAUCCAGCCAUACCGCGUGGGUGAAGAAGGCCUUCGGGUUGGAAAGCCCUUUUGUUGGGAAAGAAAAGCAGCAGGUUAAUACCCCGCUGUUCUGACGGUACCCAAAGAAUAAGCACCGGCUAACUUCGUG
rnacentral:rRNA from 1 species